AUGGACUGGACCUGGAGCAUCCUCUUCUUGGUGGCAGCAGCAACAGGUGCCCACUCCCGAGUGCAGCUGGUGCAGUCUGGGCCUGAGGUGAAGCAGCCUGGGGCCUCGGCGAAGGUCUCCUGCAAGGUGUCUGGUUAAACUGUCAUCACCUAUGGUAUGAAUUGGAUACGACAGACCCCAGGACAGGGGCUUGAGUGGAUGGGAUGGAUCAUCCUACCCUGGUGAACCCAAUGUAUGCCCACAGAUUCACACACGGUUUGUCUUCUCCAUGGACACCUCUGUCAGCACGGCGGAUCUGCAGACUAGCUGCCUAAAGACUGAGGAUGCAGCCAUUUAUUACUGUGUGAGGUA